AAUAUUGCACAAUGGGGGAAACCCUGAUGCAGCGACGCCGCGUGAGCGAAGAAGGCCUUCGGGUCGUAAAGCCCUUUCACCGGUGAAGAUAAUGACGGUAACCGGAGAAGAAGCCCCGGCUAACUUCGUGCCAGCAGCCGCGGUAAUACGAAGGGGGCUAGCGUUGUUCGGAAUUACUGGGCGUAAAGCGCACGUAGGCGGAUCGGUCAGUUAGGGGUGAAAUCCCGGGGCUCAACCCCGGAACUGCCUUUAAUACUGCCGGUCUAGAGUCCGAGAGAGGUGAGUGGAAUUCCGAGUGUAGAGGUGAAAUUCGUAGAUAUUCGGAGGAACACCAGUGGCGAAGGCGGCUCACUGGCUCGGUACUGACGCUGAGGUGCGAAAGCGUGGGGAGCAAACA
rnacentral:rRNA from 1 species